CUCUGGGUUUUUGAGGAUGAUCUCCGCCUGAUCCAGUUCUGCCAUGGUUCCAAGGGGUAACCUAAUGACUGAAGAGGACAACUGACCUGCAGAAGUGUGAGGGAACUCUGAGGGAAGUGUGGGGGAAUUUUGAUAGCCUGAAAGAACAACGAAUGCAAAAUUCAAUAUCGGAAGUGGGGCAGCUAGGUUCUACGGACUUUUUUAAGCAACCAAUGGCUUUCUCGUAAUGCCAUGGUCUCCUGUUACUCAGCCCCAGGCCCACCUUGCAGCAGGAAUGUCGAUGGAGCAGUUCAACGGAUUGUUCACCACAGCCUUUUCGAGUUACCACGACCACAACAACCGGCUAAGGAGUUUGGAAGAUUGCCAUUCGAUUACAGCUGUCUGGGAAUGAUCUGCAGAUCCAAAACCUGACUCUACAUCCAAGCAAGAUGGCACUGCUUUAUGUCACAGGAGGUGUCUUCAAAAAGAAAAAAAAAUACAAUGAUCACUCAAUCUACAGCAUCACACAGUAUUUACAUCAGGGGCAUGCUAUUGACUCCACAUAAUGUGCACAUUAUUUGGCCAGGUGUUUAUUUAUUAUUAUUAUUAUUAUUAUUAUUAUUAUUAUUAUUAUUAUUAUUAUUGUUAUUAUUAAUGUCUUUUAACGCUGCAGUCACAUCCUGUGGCUGCAUUUUAUGGGAGGCAGAUCAGCCAAAAAUAAAACUGAAUUGAAAUGGCUUAAAUGAAAAUGCAAAGACAUUUUGACUUUUUUUUCCAAAAUAUAAUGACAAAAUUAAAAAUACAAUUGCUUAAUUUUCAAUUUAACAUGCCAAGUGGGAUACAAAUGAAGUGUGAUAUUUCAUAUAACCUCAAACGGUGAAUGCGAAAGUUACCUGUUCAGUGGUAAGAAGGCCACACGACUAACAACCAUGUUUUUAGGUUCCCUAAAAACUGACAAUGAGAGUAGUAAAAGGUGUUCUACAUUACAUUCAUAUGCAAAUGUACUAUACAAUAGUGCUCCUAUAUGAUCAGUGUAUAGUAUAUGUGGAGCUGAGUGAUGCAGUGAGUGUAGAUCCAAAGUGGAUUUAAUGAAGUUUUUUAUAUCUGUUCACACAGGCAAAAAAUGGCAAAGGGAUUUGCAUUUUCUUUUUAGCCAUUUUAUUUCAGUUUUAUUUUUGGCUAGAACUACCUCCCAUAGCAUGUUGGCCAAUUCUUUAGAAUCCCUCAGAAUAUAUACAGUUCAAAUAUUUUAGAGGGCUAUUAUCCUGCAUCAGAUUUCAAGACCCCACAUUGAACUGGCCCAAAUCGGAAUUGAAAAUGUCACAUACCACAAGAAAUGAUGCAGGCAUAAGGCCUGCACGAUAUUGAAAAAAAUUCAAAUCGCAUUGUUUUAGCUUUUUGCGAUAUAUAUCGUGAUAUUACACAAUGCAGGACCCGUGACGUCACCAGCCCCGCCCCCACCCGCGCGCGACCGAGAGUCAGCGUUUAGAACAGUCAGCUCAGCACUCAAAACCCGAGGAAAACAGCAAAACAACGGCAAUUAAGCAUUUAAAUGACCUUUAAAAGGCCAUGAAAAGGUAAAUAAGAGCUUUUUUCUGGGAUUAAAAGCAUGAAUUCAGCUUUAACUUGAAAUAUCUGCGCAAAACUGUGGACAGGCUGUCUGAGGCGGUUACACGGUUCAUACACUUUCCAUAGUUUCAUGACCUUACAGUCUUUAAAAUAUCAGUGCAGAAAUUAACAUUAAAACAAAAAAUCCAUGUGAAACUGAUUAUAGUAGGCCUAUAUCUUACAAUGUUUUUAAAUAAAAAAUAUACAUUUCUUUCAGCAAUGCUGACAAUCUUCAAUUAUAAAAUGUGUCAAAUCCUGAGAGCUCUUGUGUAUAACGGAUUUAACUCUGAGCUGAUUCCAUACACUGCUAAGCAUUUCUAUUUGUUUAACCUGUAAACUGUGGUUCAUACUUCAAAUAACAUUAUAUAGGCUAUUUAUUUUGAAACUUUGAAUACAUUUUUAAUAAUCUGGCUGUUGGCUGGGAUUUCUGAACCUGCUUCCCAAAGAAAGAGAGAAAAAUAUGGCCAUUACAGCCUAAAAUGACUUUACACUCAUAUAAAAAAAACAAAUUAGUAACUUCAAGUCACACAGUUAACCCGUCAGAUAAUAGCAGGAGAGCUGUAUGCAGAUUUUUUAUUACUGAACUAUUUAACAUGUAAUAUGUUUAAUGUGUAUAUCACUUAUCAAUAAGUAUAAUGAAGCAAAAUAAACCUGCUUUUAGAGACACUCUAAAAUAUUAGUAAAUACAACAACACUGUUGUUGUUACAGAAACUAAAACAGAGCUAGUCAUUUUCCAUCUAAUUUUAACAUUUGUUUUUAAUGUACACGAUGGAAAAUGUGGAGAGAUUGGACAGGCGAAGAUAUAUAUGUAUAUAAACCGAGCUACACUAAAUACACAUUACCCCCUCCUUCAAACACACCUCUCAUCUCUCUCUCACUCUGCACUGCAGGCAGUGGCGCGCGCAGGUCUCUUCGGUGUGUUUUGUAGAAGUUAAAUCCGGACAGUCUGUUUCACAGUUUAAAGGAAUGGUGAGAUUUCGCUGCAGCAGCUGAACUCCGGUCGGAUUUCCCGCUCCCCUCGCGCUUGCAUGUUUGUCACACUUAAAUGUUUCGGAACAUCAAACCAAUUUAAAUAUUAGUCAAAGACAACACAGGUAAACACAAUGCUAUUUUUAAAUGAAGGUGUUUAUUAUUAAGGGGAAAAAAAAUCCAAACCUACAUGGCCUGUGUGAAAAAGUGAUUGCCCCCUAAACCUAAUAGCUGGUCGGGCCACCCUUAGAAGCAACAACUGCAACCAAGCGUUUACGAUAACUUGCAAUGAGUCUUUUACAGCGUUGUGGUGGAAUGUUGGCUCCACUCAUCUUUACAGAAUUGUUGUAAUUCAGCCACAUUUUCCACCAUGUACAGCUUUUUUAAUGUCAUGCCACAGCAUCUCCAUCGUAUUCAGGUCUGAUUGACUAGGCCACUCCAAAGUCUUCAUUUUGUUUUUCUGCAGCCGUUCAGAGAUGGACUUGCUGGUGUGUUUUGGAUCAUUGUCCUGCUGCAGAACCCAAUAUCGUUUCAUCUUGAGGUCAUGAACAGAUGGUCGGACAUUCUCCUUCAGUUUCUAUUUGGUAGACAGCAGAAUUCAUAGUUCCAUUUAUCACAGCAAGUCUUCCAGGUCCUGAGGCAACAAAACAGCCCCAGACCAUCACACUACCACCACCAUAUUUUACUGUUGGUAUAAUGUUCUUUUUCUGGAAUGCAGUGUUUCUUUUACACAUACCUUCCAAAGAGUUCAACUUUUGUCUCAUCAUCCCACAAAAUGUUUUCCCAUAAGUCUUGGGGAUCAUCAAGAUGUUCUGGAAAAACUGAGACAAGCUUUAAUGUUCUAUUUGCUCAGCAGUGGUUUUCAUCUCGGAACUCUGCCAUGUAGGCCAUUUUUGCCCAGUCUCUUUCUGAUGGUGGAGCCAUGAACACUGACCUUAACUGAGGCGAGUGAGGCCUGCAGUUCUUUGGAUGUUGUUGUGGGGUCUUUUGUGAGCUCUUGGAUGAGUUGUCGCUGCGCUCUUGCAGUAAUUUUGGGGGGGCCGGCCACUCCGAAGAAGGUUCACCACUGUUCCAUGUCUUUGCCAUUUGUGGACAAUGGCUCUCACUGUGGUUCUCUGGAUUCCCAAAGCUUUGGAAAUGGCGUUAUAACCCUUUCCAGACUGACCGAUCUCAAUUACCUUUUUUCUCAGUUGUUCCUGAAUUUCUUUGUAUCUCGGCAUGACGUGUAGCUUUUAAGGAUCUUUUGGUGGACUUCACUUUGUCAGACAGGUCUUAUUUAGGUGAUGUCUUGAUUGAGAACAGGUGUGGCAAAAAUAAGGCAUGGGUGUGGCUAGAGACAGUGUACUCAGGUGUCAGAAACCACAGUGACGAUAUGUUUUAACAAGGGGCAUUCACUUUUUCACACAGGGCCAUGUAGGGUUAGAGUUUUUUUCCCUCAAUAAUAAACACCUUCAUUUAAAAAUAGCAUUUUGUGUUUACCUGUGUUGUCUUUGACUAGUAUUUAAAUUGGUUUGAUGUUCAGAAAUAUUUAAGUGUGAAAAACAUGCAAAAAAUCAGGAAAUCAAGAAGGGGCAAACACUUUUUCAAGUGCGGAUUUGGGACACUUCAAAGUAGUUUACAUUCUCUGCCCAACCCAAGCUCAGUAUAGCAAAGUAACAACUAAUUUUUAAUUUUUUUAUUAUUAUUUAUUUAUUUGUAAGUUUUGCCAGAUAGAAUGAUCACACAGCACAGCCAUAUUGCUGUUUUUGUGUUUUUUGCACUUGUUGUAUUAUUAAAAUAAAGAAAAUUUAUUGUUUAGAAAGGAUGUUAUAUACUUAAACCAUCUUAAAUUAUUAGAUUAGAGGAAAGUCGUUCAGACAUUCUUGUAGCCUAAUUAAUCGAUGUUCAGGCCAGUGGAUCAUUGUUUGCAUUGUUUGUGUUUUACAGUUUUUCUCUGUCGAUUUGGUACAUUUCUCACAUCAUGAUUUACAUUGGCAUCACAAGUGCAUUUCUCAAAACAGUUAGUGCAAAGAGCAAAACUCAAUGAAAUGCCUGCAAAAGCACAUACCUCAUUCACAUUGAUAAGCGUGACACAAGCAAUGGAUAAUGCAAAAAAAACAGCUGAAAAUUGUACAUGACCAUUUGCAUGAAUGACAGACGCAUUUGCAAAAUGUGAAACACAAUGAGAAAUGCAAUUAUGAUGUGCCCAAGGGAGGAGAUGUGGAGAUUGAAUGAACAGUUUUGAGAAUUUAAAUUCUGAUCUGAGAAAUGUACCAAAUCGACUGAGAAAAACUUUCGGGGUCGGGUCGGGCUGGAUAUUUGGGCCUGAUCUAAGCGCUACUUUAAAGGCACACUGGGUAAAAGAGUUAUUUAUUGAAUCAAAUUUAUUCAAUAAUUGGCUUGUGGCCUUCCCCUGACUGUAAUUCAAGUUUACAGAACUGUCAUGAAGUCACAUUAAAGCCCCUUUCUCUCCCUGCACAAAUUUACUCAUGCAUCUCUUUGAUUGAAAGGACCGAGCCAGCACACGUGCUUACAAAUUUAGCGUUUAAUACAAACAAGCCAAACAUGAACUCAUAGUAAAACAAAAACGCAGACCCUUGCCUGGCCUCCAUAAGAGGUUUUUGCAAUUCAGCAAAUAUAAACCAACGUGUGCACUGUGCAGGUCACUUAUGCAGCCUUUUUUUUACGAUUAUAGUGAUUUGUUACUUUGCUAUAUUGAGACAUCACGGCAUAGCUUUAUAGAAAAUAAAAUUGUGUUAAGCCAUUUUCUUGAACCAGACCCGACAGAGCCAGAGGAAAGUGGUGGAGAUCUGUUUUAGAAAGAGAGAGGCGUACUUCUCACUUACAACCAGUUUUAGUGAUUACAGUCUAUGAAAUUAGCUGUAGGUUUAGAAAAGCCGCGUUUGCCAGUGGCUUUGAAAAAAUCUUGUAGUACUUGUUGGAGCUAUAGUACCAUAAAGCAGUUCAUAGUUCUCAAAAGAAAUGCAGUUCUUGUGAGUGUUGGUUACAUCCAGCUCUUAAAGUUAAACAGUGAUUUUGAAGCUGAAAUAUUUUACUUCUUUAAAAAUUAUAAAUCAAGAAAAUACUACCUAGUGUACCUUUUUAACCUUCUGUGUGAACAAACUGAUCCAGACUGCAUUCUUACUUUUCUCUGACCUUGGAUUAGAGUUGCAAUGGUGUAAGUAUCUAAAGACAAUAUCCUGGGUUUCAUAGUGUUUCACAAUUACCCUAAAUAAUUAAUGACUUAUGAAUAUUGCUAAAAUGUGUAAAACAUGUUAUUUUGCAUGUUGGCACCAGAGAGGAAGGAAGUGUUUUUUUAUAAUAGUAAUUAGGCUUGGGCGAUAAUGUAAAUUCAGACAAACGAUUAUCGUCACCAGAAUUAUCGCGAUAAACGAUAAUAUCGUUAAAAAUGAAAGAAAAAAGUACCCCACGCGACCGGAUUUGCCCCUCCAGUACAACGACGUUUUCUCGCCAUAUAAUCUAGCAGCCAGUAAAUGUGUUAAUUUUUUUUAUUUAAUUACCGACACAUCCUGACAGGUAAGCAUGCAAGUUAUGCUUAAAAAUAGUGCUUACAGGAUGAUGAAGUACAUUUGCACGUGUUUCAGAGAUGGUGUCAACCAGAACUUAAAUAUGACAGAAAUAUUUGAGACACUGUGUAUAAUGAACGACCUUAAUGACAGCUUUUUUAAGUACAGACAUAAUAUCACUGGGAUUUGUAAAAUUAUAAGCCAGGCAGAAUGUUUAAAAUGAACAUUCAAAUCGACAUGUAAAUUAAUAAAUAAUGGAGACAGUUCUUCAGUAGAAAAAUCUAAAUAAAGAAAAUUUAACAGAUUAAAUUCGUCAAUAUUCAACAUGUAUUUUAGAUUAAUAAAAUGGUAGGUUUAAAAAAGGAACUCUUUUUUUGGAUUAAGGUAGGCGUAUUAUUUUAAAAUAUACAGAAAUCUUUAAAUUAAUAAAUAAAAACACCGAUGGUUUAACUUUAGGCUAUAAAAAACUGUAAUUAUAACUUUAACACAAAAGUGACAGACUGCGCUUAGUGCGCUAUCCUUUGUAAUCAACUCACCCAUUUAAAGCAGUUUGCCGUAUUGGAUGCUGGAUGAAAUGAGAAUCAGAAUCUACUGUGUUUUUAGGAUUCUUUUUUUCUGACAUAUGUAACUUCUAAUCUAAACGUAAAGUCCGCUCUGCACCGCUUCUAUACCCGCCUCAGAUCCAACACUCCCUCAAUUUCCAGCAGCGAAAACACCAGCUCAUGUUUUACGUGAAUGCAGCGCUUAGCUCUAUACAUUUGUAAAAAAAAAUAUAAGGAGUUCGUUAAAAAAUACAACAAAAACAGAUAAAGGCAUGUUUAAAAUAUAACUUAUAAACACUUCUUAUGUAUUAUUUAUAAUUAAAACCUUAUCCUUGUGCAUUUUUAUUAAGUUUUUAUAAAACAAGCCCUGGACUGCUCGAAUUUCAGUCUACUUAGAUGCAUCACGUCGACUUUCACGGGCAGCCCUAACUGUUAUUAUUAUUAUUAUUAUUAUUAAGUUGUAGUACUAUUUUAUUUUUGUUAGUUUUUUUUUUAUUUCUUAAUUGUUUUUAUAUUUGCUUUUUAACAGAAAUGUCCCGUAUUUGUUCACUUUUUUACCAACAAGUAUUCGUGAAUCACAGCAAUUUAAAUUAAAUUCGACAAUUCGUGUUUUAACACAAAUAUUUUAUUCUGCUUUAUAGCAGAAAAUUGUGAACUUCAAUACAAUCCAGGAAAAUUGGAAAUCUUGUCUUAUAGUUAACAAACUAAAUAAAGUUUUAAACAUAGAAGUAUUCGUUUCUUAUUAUUACAUUUUAAAGUAUAGAAAAUAAACCUCUUACACCACUAGGACAAAAAAAACGUUUUUGCAGCUGGCAAAAAUUAUACAAUACACACAUUCGGUAGCUACAUGUACCCUUUAACUGCUCUGUGCCAGCACGCUUAAGCAUUCUUUGCGAGGAAGACAAGCAUGUUAACCUUGUCGGGUUUAAGAUGAGAGCGUGAGGGACUAACAACAUUUCCAGCUGUGCUGAAAACACGCUCGGAUGGGGUGCUUGUUGCGCACACACACAGGUAUUUGCGAGCAAGUCUUGCCAUUAUAGGCAAGCGUUUACUGUUUGUACUGACUGGAUGAACUGCUUUCUCCUUUGGUCAGACCAAGUUUAGCACACUCAUUCGGAUGAUGUAUCCUGAGAUGCGCACGCAAAUUGCUGGUAUUGCCGUCCUUUGUCAUGAUCGACUUUCUGCACAGACGACAUUUAACUGCAUUGAUGUCUAAUGGUUCUCCAUGUUCAUCUGCUUGGAAGCCAAAAUACUGCCAAAUCGGCGAGGUGACACCUUUCUUUUGUACAAGAUCCUCCAUUUUUCACCGUCCACCCAGGAGAAGGUCACACGGAGCAGUAAUUAAUUUGCAUGUACCCAGCAUUCAAUUCCGGAGUUAAACUCUUUGUUCUGAUAUAAUCAACUUACGUUUUAAUUUGAAGCAUAUUAUGUAUGUGUGGUCUAAAAUACUACCUUUUUUCUUAUGGCUAUGAACAUGUCAUAGAUUAGAUUAAUGAAAUAAUGUGGUUGAUUAAAAAACGGACCCAAAAAAAAAAACACGUGGUUAACGAUAACGCACCUCAUAUCGUCACUGGCUUAAAUUAUCGCGAUAUUCGAUAAUAUCGUUUAUCGGCCCAAGGCUAAUAGUAAUGUCAUGUGCUCAAGUAAAGUUCUUCCAGUGAAAUGUUCAAUUAAAUGAUUCAUAUUACCAUGAAGUGCUUAAAGCAUUAAAGUGUAAGAACUCAAUGCAGAAUAUUAUUCAUAUUAUGUUAACUUUAGUACAAGGGUUGGACAUUGUGGGAUGAAUAUUUAUGACUGUCAUAAUAGGUGUAUUAUUCUUAAAUAUAUUGCUUAAUUAUAUUGCUGUCUAAUGAGUUUUGUCAGAACGUUUACUUUGGUGUUGUGUGGUAAAGCCUCUGUUGCACAGCUAUGAACUGUUGUAAAAUGUUAAUUGUGGUAUAUACUCAUGCAAAGUUUUUUCAAUAACUGUAAAGAAAGUUAAAUUAAAUUACAGAAAUGAGAAUUUCCUGCUAAUGGUUCAGGCUUAAAAGGGUUAAAUAUAGUUAAUUCAGAGUAGGGUGUGUGUUUUAACUUGUAUUGAAUAUGUUCAUAAUAAAGUUUUUAUUGUGAA